rnacentral:tmRNA from 1 species
CAUUUUCGAAAUGCUCAACAGUGAGGUCGUGGGUACAGUGGCGACCACUGCCGCAAGGUAGUGAUUGCUGUAAUUCCUUUGACGUAAAGGCGUUCUGGACGCGGGUUCGAUUCCCGCCACCUCCACCAGAUGGCGUUUUCGCUAGACGUUAUCUGAUGGGGGUGACCUGGUUUCGACAGGGCGAGAUAGCGAAGAAGGCAGCAGGAGAGGUGACCGACCUAAUCGGCACAAAUCUGUAAAUGCAAACAAUAGCACUUACGCCCUGACGGGUACCUAAUCCGUCUCG